rnacentral:rRNA from 1 species
AUAGCUAAUCUGCCCUACACUAGAGGACAACAGUUGGAAACGACUGCUAAUACUCUAUACUCCUCUUUAACAUAAGUUAGAUAGGGAAAGUUUUUCGGUGUAGGAUGAGGCUAUAUUGUAUCAGCUAGUUGGUGAGGUAAUGGCUCACCAAGGCUAUGACGCAUAACUGGUCUGAGAGGAUGAUCAGUCACACUGGAACUGAGACACGGUCCAGACUCCUACGGGAGGCAGCAGUAGGGAAUAUUGCUCAAUGGGGGAAACCCUGAAGCAGCAACGCCGCGUGGAGGAUGACACUUUUCGGAGCGUAAACUCCUUUUGUUAGGGAAGAACAAUGACGGUACCUAACGAAUAAGCACCGGCUAACUCCGUGCCAGCAGCCGCGGUAAUACGGAGGGUGCAAGCGUUACUCGGAAUCACUGGGCGUAAAGGACGCGUAGGCGGAUUAUCAAGUCUCUUGUGAAAUCCUAUGGCUUAACCAUAGAACUGCUUGGGAAACUGAUAAUCUAGAGUGAGGGAGAGGCAGAUGGAAUUGGUGGUGUAGGGGUAAAAUCCGUAGAGAUCACCAGGAAUACCCAUUGCGAAGGCGAUCUGCUGGAACUCAACUGACGCUAAUGCGUGAAAGCGUGGGGAGCAAACAGGAUUAGAUACCCUGGUAGUCCACGCCCUAAACGAUGUAUACUAGUUGUUGCUAAGCUAGUCUUGGCAGUAAUGCACCUAACGGAUUAAGUAUACCGCCUGGGGAGUACGGUCGCAAGAUUAAAACUCAAAGGAAUAGACGGGGACCCGCACAAGCGGUGGAGCAUGUGGUUUAAUUCGAAGAUACGCGAAGAACCUUACCCGGACUUGAUAUCUAACAAAUCAUCUAGAGAUAGAAGAGUGUCUGCUCGCAGAAAUGUUAAGACAGGUGCUGCACGGCUGUCGUCAGCUCGUGUCGUGAGAUGUUGGGUUAAGUCCCGCAACGAGCGCAACCCACGUCAUUAGUUGCUAACAGUUCGGCUGAGCACUCUAAUGAGACUGCCUUCGUAAGGAGGAGGAAGGUGUGGACGACGUCAAGUCAUCAUGGCCCUUAUGUCCGGGGCGACACACGUGCUACAAUGGCAUAUACAAUGAGAAGCAAUAUCGCGAGAUGGAGCAAAUCUAUAAAAUAUGUCCCAGU